CAGGUUAGUUUUACCCUUCUGAUGACUAUAAAUGUCGUUGCGAUAGUAAUCAACCACAGUACGAGAGGAACUGGUUGUUCAGACCUCUGGUUCACGCCCUCGGUCGAUCGACCGGUGGAGCGAUGCUACCAUCUGUUGGAUUAUGCCUGAAUGCCUCUAAGGCCGAAUCCGCGCUAGAUCGUCGUUGGCGACGAUACAUC
rnacentral:ncRNA from 1 species